AUCACUCUGUUCCUCAAAGAACAGUCGGGGUAGCUUGGACUUGCUAACAAGAGUGACUGGCGGUUAGCCUCGCGCGUUUCACUAACUAGCUAACAUUAUUAUUAUUAUUUUCUUUUUCAGUUAGCUAGUCCCUUCGACGGUUACGGUUCCAGAAGUACGAAUACAUUAAAUAUUUAUCAGAAAGCGAUUAACUUGGCGUUUCCUUGUUUAAUUCGUAUGUGUGGGCCGCGGUUAGCCCGGCUGCAACCAUGUGAGAGCUGCCGCUGCCAGGGUGGGGGGACCGUGUGGAGCCAGGCCCAACCUCAACACCAAUCUGCUCCUGAAGUUCAGCGAACCGCGUCCCAAAAGUCACGGCAGUGACAGCGAAUAAUGGUCUGGAAGGUAAUGAAGUUGAAGGCACGUUGGGGAGAGGGACGUUCUCCGGUCCUCCGAUCUUCAGAAGACUUGCGUCCAGGUCUUCCUGUUCCAGCUCAUCCAGCUCUGCCAACAGCUCGUCCUGAGAGAGAACGCGGUCAACACCAAACAACACAAACCACCACAAAGAAAUGGCUACAAAUACUUCCUAUAAAAGAUGCACCAUU